CUGAAAUAAAAUCCCGUGAUCAUCCCAGAACCCGGUGUCACAAGUGCAUGAGCAAUUACUAAGGAAUCGAAUAAAGCACAACAACUGUCCGGAAUGCAAUUUGGACAGAAAGUAAUUACAAUACAGUGAAAGAGACUGUACUGGCUGUGGGUCGCCUCGAGGAAUGCAACUCGCCUAAGUCUCCGUAUCAACCAAAGCCGCUAUGCCACUAGCCACAUAUGAACCUGUGCAACAAAAAUGCACAGCAAGUGUAGUGUGAGUUGUAGACAUGUGAUUUUUGACCCUCCCCAAGAUUUUUUAUAUUUUAGCGUAAAAUAUUUAACUUAGGCCUAAUAUAGCUAUUUCAACUCAUUUUUACUUUAUUUUAUUACAAGAAAAAUGAAAAUUACAAAAAAUAUUUUAGUAUGUAUCUUUCAAAAAAAAAACAAACAAAAAUAGAACCAUAUUUUCAUCUUUAUAUAAUUUUGAAAAUAAAAAAAUACAUAAAAGUUUCAUGUUAGCUUUUGCAUUGUGUAGUAUUGUUAUCUUAUUUUAAAAAGAAGUCAAUUAAGGUGUUGAAUCAUAAUUUUAAGAGUUUUAGAACCCAGUUCUUGGCCAAGUCGGAUUAGUCCAUUAAGCCUAGGGACCCAUCUAGGCUCUUCUUUGGAAUAAAAACAAACAAACAAAAGACCCUAAGGACCUAAUACACAAAAGACCUAGAGACUAAUGAGCAAAAUACACAAAAAUACACCUAAACCUAGACUCUACCUAUAAAGUAAUGCUUAAAAAAUCUGGAAAAAAAAAGUUAAAAGAAGAACGCUAAGGGAAAGCUGAAAAGCUGCGCACAACAGGACCCCUACCCCCCUCGUAUCGUCUUCUUCAUAGACCCCCCCCCCCCCCUCACGAUCUCAUCUUCUUGUUCCCCCACCAUCGACUCAUUUUGGCUUCAGCACACCAACUGUCGUGACCCUUCAUCUUCAGCACCCUAGGAGACAUGAUCCCCAUCCCAUCUAAGAAACCCUUCUUCACCAGCAGCUAACACUCAUAUGGGAGUCGUCUUCCACCUAACUAGAACCCAAAAGAGAACCAGCAGCUCCGUAUCUUCUUCUUCUGGACAAAACGCAAACAUUCACAAAAAAUAAACACCUACAGGGAGACGAGAGGAACGAGGGAAAGCAGGGGUUGGGAAAACGGACAACAACAGAGACGAGAGACGAGGAACGAGAGCUAAGCUCACCCAUCGUCAUUUUCUUCACAUCACAGCAACAGAGUAAAUAGAGUGAAGCUCAGUACCUUCGCUCCACUGAUCGAAACCUCCACCGAAACAAUGUCAAAUAGCCCGAAACAGCUCCGAAUCGCGAGUCACUGUUAUGAAAACCGUUGGCUUUGUCUUUCUGGUUUAGUUCGAGUUUUCCGGCGAGCUUCGAGUUCGUCGAAGGUCGUUGUACAAGGAGUCCAUUCCAGUCGUACGUCGAGGUACUGUCGUCGGUUUCCGGUUCGAGUUCCGUCCGGGUUCUAGCGGUUUGAGGUUUAUUUCUAAACCUUGUUAUUGAUUAAUUUGUAGUGAUUUGUCAUUGUGUAUUUUGACAUAGAAUGAAUUUCUGCUCGAUUUUUAGUUUACACAAUGGCGUGUGUGUGAUGUUUCCAUUUUGUUUUGUUUUGUUACAAUGUUUAUGAAUAUAUAUUUGUUUUUUUGUGUGAAAUAUGUGUGAACGAGAUGGGUUUCUCGGAAUGUUUGUUCUUAUUCAGUUAUUGAGUUUCUUUGUUAGCUUGAUUAGCAGAUUUCAUACCCAUGUUGACUUUAUUUGCUGAAUUAUAUUUCAAAUUGCUGUUGGUAACACCUUGCACUGGAAAUCAAAUUUAUGAUUAACAAAGAAAGCAAGAAUUCAAAAUCAUAACCAUGUUAUUGCAUUUUGUCCAUUUUGAAGGUUCAUAAAUUGCAUGAUUCAAG
rnacentral:lncRNA from 1 species